UAAUGUGAAAUAUCAUAAAAUAUUUUUUAGUCAUUAUUAUUUUUUAAACUCACGAACUGAACUAUUCUUAGAAGGAGACGUAAUUUAAUUAAGUGACAACUGAAUAACGUGUAUAAGAAAGAAUGUUAACAGCAUUGUGUAAGUUGUUCAGUGGUAGCCACCAUGGAAAAAGUCAUCAUAAUACUGUUGUCCCUGUUUUGUGUCACAGCAUUUGCUGGAAACAUUCAAACUAGUAAAUGUCUUAAUAUAAAUGCCCAAGGACUCAAGCUGAAGUACUGCAAAAUAUCCGGAUGCAAUAAACAAUCCACCUGUGAGAUCUCUGCAAGUUCAAAUAAACCUAUCAGCAUAGCUAUUGGAGUCAUAGUUAAACCAAAAAACAAAUACCAAAGUGUCUCAUGUAACAUAACCGCUGUGUUGACUCAGGGCAAUGUUGCAACUGGUAUAGGAGGAUUGCUUUCUGGACAAAACACCAAUACGUUUCAAUUAGGGACAUAUUCUAUGUGUGAUCGUAUUAAAACAGGCAGCUGCCCUUUACAAGGGAAAAAGAAAAACAAUAAACCUGUGGUUUUCGAAGUUAGUCGAUCUAUCUCUUCGCCUUUACCCAUAUCAGGCAUAGCUGCUACUCUUCAAAUUAUUAUAUUUGAUCCCAAUAAUAAUAACAAUGAAUUACUUUGUUUUCAGUUUGAAAUCAAAGUUAAAUAAUCCGACUACUGAAAAAAAAUGAAUUUAUAUUAAUAAAAUUUAUAUUGUUAUAAUUUUUUUUAAAAAGUCACUGAUUAUUCUCUGAAAAAAAUUAAUCAACUAGUUUUAAAGGUUUUUGGGUUAUGUGGUAAUUGUACAUGGUAAUACAAUGUACAUACGUAUGCUAAAUAAAGUAUAACAAAAAAUAGAA